rnacentral:rRNA from 1 species
AUAAGAGGUCCAGCCUGCCCAGUGACAAAUGUUCAACGGCCGCGGUAUCCUAACCGUGCGAAGGUAGCGUAAUCACUUGUUCUUUAAAUGUGGACUAGUAUGAACGGCACCACGAGGGUUAUACUGUCUCCUUUCUCCAAUCAGUGAAACUAAUCUCCCCGUGAAGAAGCGGGGAUAAAAAUAUAAGACGAGAAGACCCUAUGGAGCUUAAAAGUUUACUUCAAACGCUAACCCCUACAAAGUCAUAGACUACCACAAGAAGCCACGCGCCAUGAAAACAACUUUUAGGUUGGGGUGACCAUGGAGCACAAAACAACCUCCACGCUGAACAGGCCUCCAAGCCUCGAGCCAAGGGCCACAACCCGCCGCACUAAAAAAUUAACAUCCAUUGAUCCAAUGAAUUUUGAUCAACGAACCAAGUUACCCUAGGGAUAACAGCGCAAUCUACUUCAAGAGUUCCUAUCGACAAGUGGGUUUACGACCUCGAUGUUGGAUCAGGGUGUCCCAGUGGUGCAGCCGCUACUAAUGGUUCGUUUGUUCAACGAUUAAAACCCUACGUGA